CAACUACGCAGCAAACAUUCAGACACCGAGAGACCAUUUAAAGAGAAAGAGGGACGGCGGAAAAGAGUGGACAAAGUGAACCCCAUAAUGUACGCAACAGCUAAUAUUAGAUCCAAAAUGACAAAUCCCAAUGACAAAAACCGGAGCAUAAGCGAUCAGGGAACAAGUGGCGGAAUGGAUAAUAAACUGGCUGCAAAACAAAGACAAGGAGUAAUAGGAGUUACUCUUAACUGCUGACAAAUAGAAGCCAUUUAAGGCCAAUAACCUAUGUUACUGGGAACCCUGUUAAUGAUGUGAUUUGUGGUCCUGUCAUGAGACUUGACCUUGGAGCUCUUGGAAAGAUUGAGGAAGCUGUGAAGUCUCACCCCAGCAGGUCAACUGACCAUGCCAGCUUAUAAAUUCUUCCAUGCAUAUCACAAUUGGCAAUGAGCUUUUGUCUCAGUAUUUCUGCUUCUGGGUGCUUUGUGGUGAUGUGGUGCAUCCAAUAGUGGAAAUGAAGCAAUUGAAGCCAAAUUUGUUGGAUUUGCAGAUGAUGCUCAGGAGGAUUUAAACUGUUUCCUGAUGGUUGUACAUCUGUUCCCCUCCAUAUUUAUUGCCCACCUCUGCUGUGUUGUAAUGGAAAUGGUGAGCCUUCUCGAGAACCAUGCCAGUUCCUGUUAUGUGGUGAUGCAAGACUAUUACUAUAGCAGCAACAAAGGAAUGUUAAUAUCUUCCAAUAUGUGUGGUAUACAGCUUGGAGAGAGAAUUAA